UACGGAGGGGGCUAGCGUUGUUCGGAAUUACUGGGCGUAAAGCGCACGUAGGCGGCUUUGCAAGUCAGAGGUGAAAGCCCGGGGCUCAACCCCGGAAUUGCCUUUGAGACUGCAUCGCUAGAAUUGUGGAGAGGUAAGUGGAAUUCCGAGUGUAAAGGUGAAAUUCGUAGAUAUUCGGAAGAACACCAGUGGCGAAGGCGACUUACUGGACACAUAUUGACGCUGAGGUGCGAAAGCGUGGGGAGCAAACAGG
rnacentral:rRNA from 1 species